CCUACGGGAGGCAGCAGUGAGGAAUAUUGGUCAAUGGGCGCGAGCCUGAACCAGCCAAGUCGCGUGAGGGAAGACGGUCCUAUGGAUUGUAAACCUCUUUUGUCGGGGAGCAAAAGACGCCACGCGUGGCGUUCCGAAAGUACCCGAAGAAAAAGCAUCGGCUAACUCCGUGCCAGCAGCCGCGGUAAUACGGAGGAUGCGAGCGUUAUCCGGAUUUAUUGGGUUUAAAGGGUGCGCAGGCGGGAGAUCAAGUCAGCGGUAAAAGUGAGAGGCUCAACCUCAUCGAGGCGUUGAAUCUGGUUUGCUUGAGUGAGUGAGAAGUAUGCGGAAUGCGUGGUGUAGCGGUGAAAUGCAGUGAUAUCACGCAGAACUCCGAUUGCGGAGGCAGCAUACCGGCGCUCAACUGACGCUCAUGCACGAAAGUGUGGGUAUCGAACAGGAUUAGAUACCCUUGUAGUC
rnacentral:rRNA from 1 species